UCCUGGUGAGCUCAGUUGGAUGAGCGCUCCUUUGAAAGUGGAGAGGUCCCUGGUUCAAUACCGGGACUAGGCC
rnacentral:tRNA from 1 species